CAAGUGGUAGUUUAUUAAAAUAAUAAUUUUGGAGAUUAUCGAUAUAGGUUAAUUCUAUUUACUUGA
rnacentral:tRNA from 1 species